rnacentral:rRNA from 1 species
CUACCUUGGAGUGGGGAAUAACGGCUGGAAACAGCCGCUAAUACCGCAUGAUGCGUCUGGGCCGCAUGGCUCUGGGCGCCAAAGAUUCAUCGCUCUGAGAUGAGCUCGCGUCUGAUUAGCUAGUUGGCGGGGCAACGGCCCACCAAGGCGACGAUCAGUAGCCGGACUGAGAGGUUGGCCGGCCACAUUGGGACUGAGACACGGCCCAGACUCCUACGGGAGGCAGCAG